UUACCGGAAGUAGUCUUUACUGUUAUUGUUGGAUUUGUUAUUCUUUUCUAACGUCAGUUUGAAGUCAUAAUACAUUAAAUGGCAACCUGAAUGCAGACAUUAGCCCAAUUAAUAUGUCGAUCAAGAUUGGAACAUUUGGUUAAUUAGACCCAAUGUCUCUUUCGCGAUGGAAAACGUGAGAAGACAACAUAGUUUACUUAUAGGCCUAUAUGUACAUUAGACCAGCAUCACGUACGAACGAGUAAAUCCCAUAUGCGGCUACUUGGAUGGUAAGUUGCCAUGGAGACUGAGAUAAAGCAGGAAGAUGUGGAAGAAGACAGACCCUUUAAGUCCCGAGUGGCGUCCAACACAUCUGAUGGUGCUCAGAUGACAAGGAAAGACGGUCACGGGAAGCUUGCUGAGGUAGACGACUUUAUUGUUGUGAAGACGGAAAACGAGGACAUAAGGAUAAGCAGAGAAGUGGAACAAGAAUCUGGAGAAUCUGGCGAUGGAUCAAACCAGUCACAGGGGGCUUCAGCGAGUGGAGAUUCCGGACACAUCCCCUCAGACGUGAACGUGAUUAGAGCUUCGGACCUUCCCAGUGAGAGGUUCUACCACAAUGGAAAGGAGCUGGACCUUGGAGAUGUACUGACAACCAUGACAGGCCAACAAGAAAGUACGGAUGUCUCGGAGGGGGAAGGUGAAGAAGAGGAGGAGAUGGAAGUUGAGGAGGAGGAGGGGGAGGAAGAAAUUGAGAAAGAUGAUGACGAGCAUGAUGAUGAUGAUGAAGAAGAAGGGGAAGGAGUAGAGUCUUGUGGAAAGAAGAAGAGAGUCGGAAAAGCAGCAAAGAAAUGGAAGACGUCUUCAAGCUUCGAUCCCAAACCUCAGGAACAACGCUUCAACAUGGGUGGUCUCACCAUGAAGUAUCUGACAGAUUCCCAAAGGAAGAUUGUAGAGAGGUUGGUAGAGAGCAAUAUUAAUGUCUUCAGGACAAUAACAUCGUCGGUUGAGCAACGGGAGAAGAAGAUGUCACUGUGGCGAACUAUAGCCAGAGAGGUGAACUGUGAACCCAGCAGAAGGGAGAUAACUCCAGAGGAACUCGUGACAAUAUGGAGUAAACAUUUGUUUCUGAAACAUGUGUAUUCCAGGAAAAGUCUAAUAGUGACCAAGGAAUCUGAUGCUAGAGGAAAUGGUGGCCCCACGCAGGUCUUCAAGACACUCAUUGCUAAAAGAGGAGCACCGCAGAAGAACAAGAAGAACAUGGUUCCCUCUGUACAGGAUUCCAGGAAAGGCCCUUCCAGCCAAUCACGUGACCUAUCUGAGGAAGAGGCGCGGGUAUUUGAUGAGCAGAUCGCACAGUUUAGGAAGGUGUUUACAACACUGCACACCGUCUCGGAUCAGAAGCGAAGCGUGAAACUGAAGGAAGUGUGGUCGGAGAUCACAAUGAAGGUCAAUGAGGUCACCAAGGGACCUUGGAGAUCAGUCAAUGAACUUCAGAGAAGAUGGACGAUGUCGCUGAUCAAGCAGAAGACAUCUUUGUCCGUCGGUCGGCAGGUGCAUCAGCUUGUUGGUAGUGAGAGCAGGGAGACAUCUGAGACAGCUGAUCUGUCGGAGCCUCCUGGAGAUGUUCCAAUUAAGAUCGAGAUCGACAACGCGGAGUCGCAACAGAGUGAGAUCAUCCAUGUGGUCAGGAACAGAGAUGUGGAAACAGAGACAACCACUGCAACAGGAACAGCACCCACAGCGGGGACGGUGUCAGUACCUCGACGUCAUCAGCCACAUCACAGGGAGGUGGUUACAGGAACAGACUCAGACUCCUCCGGGGAGGGACCGGUCACCGUGAAGGAGGAGCCCCUCGACGACUCCAUCAGUCAGCCUGGGAUCCCUCAUCCCCACAAAGAUAACAUGGGCUCAAAAGGCAUGGCAAUGCGAGGCAGGGAUGUGGCUUACAUACAGGAACAAGUGAAGAUACAUGGAAAGCUGUUUGUGGACGACACAAGCCGAGCGGCUCAGGCUGGUGUGAUGAAGGAGAUCACCAGGACACUGAACAGGAAGCACAACACCAGCUACACUCGCGAACACGUGACGGCUGUCGCCACAGACUUCAUACGUAAACUGUCACAUGUCAGUAAACGAAAGCAUUCAUUGGACAAGGAGCAAUCUGCCAAGAGAAUCAGGAUUCACAAAAGCAAGGAUGUUUCAGUGACUAAACUUCCUGACAAGUGACAAGCCCUGCGAUAGAUCAUCACUCAUUACUGGAUAUCAUGGACAGGAAUGGCUUGUCUCUGACUUAGGAUCAGGAGUCCUGUCAUUCACAGUAGCCUCUGUGAAGUGCCUGGAAUCUGGCUGCUGGCCAUGUGGAUAGCCUGAUGUACAAAGACUGUCAGCAGUGGCCACCUUGGAGGAUGAUGCAGUAUGAGGUGGUGUUAGUAUUUGAAGAAGCUUCACUGAUUGGUAGUGGCCAUCUUGGAAGACGAAACCUACCAGUAUGACAUUGAGUGGAACCAUCAAAAAGACGAUGCUGUAUGUGCCACUAUGUGGUGACUUGAGUUUGUAGAGAUAGUACUAUAAGUGUGCCUGUAUGUGGUAACUUGAGUUUGUAGAGAGUACUAUAAGUGUGGGUGUAUGUGGUGACUUGUUUGAGAAGAUACUGCAAUCCGAGAUUGUGGUCAUCUUGAAAGAUGCUGCUGUGGUGGCUUCUUUGUGAAAUGUUACUGUGAUUGUGGACAUGAGAAGACAUGGAAAUGGUGCUCAAAGAGGUGGUUUAUCCAGGAAAGCCUACUCUAUUUAUGUAUUGACUUGAGUUUGGAGAUAACAAUCAGCUAUUGUGGCCAUCUUGACAUUCAUCAAGGAGGUCCACAAGGAGGUCUGCACAUCUGGAAAGACCACACUUGUGUGGUGACUUGUGCUGCAGUCAGGUAUUGUGGCCAUCUUUGACAGCUGACCAUCACUGAUACUCAGCUUGAUUUAUAAUUAUUUGAUUUGUUUCUUGUCAAACAGAUCCUUGGUUCAUAUUCACAGACGUCAUUGGAAUCACACAAGGGACAACUGGCGCUGUUGUCCUAACCAAGGAGGCAGUGAUGUUACUUGAAAAUAAAAUAAGCCAGAACCUCAAAAUCCAUUGUGUUAAAGUAGAGAUUAGAUAUGUGAACAUGGUCAAGGAAUGAUGUCAAGGUGGGAUGACGUCUGAUUCGCUUUAUCACAGAUAUGACUGAUGUACUUGAUUAGGAUUACUGGUAACAGAAUAUGGUGCAAUAUAUUGGGCAUGAUAUUCAUGUCAUUAUUAAAAUGUUUUGAGAAGUG
rnacentral:misc_RNA from 1 species